GCCGGAAAUGACCGCCCCGGCGGCAGGUGGAGCAGGGACGCGCGUUCCAAGCGGCGGGAAGAGCCGGUGCAGAGGCCCUGAGGCAGGGCCUGGCAGGGCCUGGCAGAGGGGAGCUCAGCAAGUGCUUCGGUACCUGCUGCCAGCGGCCCUUUGCUGAGGGUCCUGUGCACCACGACAUCCAGUUCAACAUACCCCGUUAUCCCCAUUUUAUGGAUAAGAAAACAGGCGCUGGCAUGUCAGUGUUGAAACUUCCAACGUAAACAGUAAGCGCCAACAAGAAAAAGAAAGCUGCGUAUGCACUGAUGGGAGAAAAGCUUCAAGAAACUUUGUUGUAGGACACCGCCCAUUGCACUCAGCACUGUCAACAGCCUCUUUACAGGCCUUCAAGUCGACACAAGUUUCUCCACACCAUUAGGAAUCACCCUGAAGAUGUGGCAUCUCCAGCAGUUGUGGGUGGCAGCGCAGGAGCCCACUGUAGUGUCAGCGGACACAAGGAGUUCACUGCAGGCUGUUACGUGACUUGCAUGUUCUGGAGAGGGGCAGAGAUCCACGCCUGGAGUCUGCACCGCCUGAAGCAAAGCAAAAUCAGACGCUGGGUGGCUCCAGUGGAAACAGCUGGCUGAUUCUUCUGGGCUCAGAGGCUGCAGCCUCUGGUCUUGCUGCUGCCAGAUGCCCGGCAUCCACAUCGCUGCCUUUGCCUGGUAUGCGCCCUCUGACACGCGCAUGUCCUGUUCAGCUUACCAACACGAGCCUGUGCUGGGGCACCGGCCUGAGGGGGCAGCCAGGAAUAUCUGCACCCUCGCUGCAGGGGAGUCUGGGAAAGCAAGGCCCUGACUUCCACUGGGAAAGGUGUGGCCUCAUCCGUGGGGAUGCCUCGGACAUAGAGGGCGGGUUCACUGGGCAGCCAGAAAGAAUGGCACCAAACUUGAAGGUCAUGCUCAGAGGACCUCUUCUCCAAGAGGACUUUGUGACCACCAUGUCUGAGUCCCCUCCCACUUCCCCCAUCAUGCCCAUCUGCUGUGUCACAGCGCUCGAACUUUGUCACCGCCAUCUGGAAUGACCUUGGUAAUCUGUUUCCUUGUUUAUGGUCUGUCUUCUCCAGUAGAAAGGAAGAGCCACAGGAAUUUUUGGUCCACCCCUGGCUCCUGUAACAGUGCCUGGUACAAAAAUGUCUGUGCCAGGAAUGCACGACCGUGCAGAGAGAACGCCUCGCCUGGUCUUCCCGCCUUCAGCCCGGCUCCCUCCUCCACCCUCCCCUGCGCACACAGGGGAUUUUCCAAGCCCAGAAAUCAUCCAGGUCACUCUUCUGCUCUAAGACCAUCAGUAGCUCCCCACUGUCUCAGGUAAAAUCCAAAGGCCCUAGCAAGGCUCAGCAGGUCCUGUCAGCGUCAAGCCCUGCCUUCCUUCGGACACGUUUACCCUUCACUCCGAACCGAGCCCAGCCCAGAUCACAUCAGCCCUCUGCAGAGACCCGCCCUCCCUGCCCGCGUCCCCGCUCAGCUGACCACUCUGGCCUCUCACUGGCCUCAGGGAAAGUCACUGCUCUCAGGAAGCCUCACUGACCCUGUCUUCCCAAACCUGCAUUAACUGUUCCUUCUCCCACAAUCCCCACCUUGGCCUUAUCGUCUGUAUUGUAAUCUGUUUUUGUUGUUGUUAAGUAAAUUACGAUCUACACUCAGUAGAACUCACCCCUUUUGGGAUAUAGUGUAUGAGUUUUGGCAAACACAUAACAGUUGUGUAAUCUCUCGGGAUAGUCAAAAUAUAAAACCAUUUCAUCAGCUCUC